UCCGACUUAACGUCGGCAGUCUCGCCAGAGUGCUCAGCUUGACCUGUUAGCAACUGACGACAAGGGUUGCGCUCGUUGCGGGACUUAACCCAACAUCUCACGACACGAGCUGACGACAGCCAUGCAGCACCUGUCACUAGGCUCCCGAAGGCACCCCACCGUUUCCGGCGGGUUCCUAGGACGUCAAGCCUUGGUAAGGUUCUACGCGUAGCGUCAUAUUAAACCACGUCAUCCUCUGCUUGUGCGGGUCCCCGUCAAUUCCUUUGAGUUUUAGCCUUGCGGCCGUACUUCCCAGGCGGCAUACUUAUCGCGUUAGCUGCGUCUCACAGGGGGUCGAUACCCCAUAAGACUAGUAUGCAUCGUUUACGGCGUGGACUAC
rnacentral:misc_RNA from 1 species